rnacentral:rRNA from 1 species
GGGUUGUGAGGUUAAGCGACUAAGCGUACACGGUGGAUGCCCUGGCAGUCAGAGGCGAUGAAGGACGUGCUAAUCUGCGAUAAGCGUCGGUGAGGUGAUAUGAACCGUUAUAACCGGCGAUUUCCGAAUGGGGAAACCCAGUGUGUUUCGACACACUAUCAUUAACUGAAUCCAUAGGUUAAUGAGGCGAACCGGGGGAACUGAAACAUCUAAGUACCCCGAGGAAAAGAAAUCAACCGAGAUUCCCCCAGUAGCGGCGAGCGAACGGGGAGGAGCCCAGAGCCUGAAUCAGUGUGUGUGUUAGUGGAAGCGUCUGGAAAGGCGUGCGAUACAGGGUGACAGCCCCGUACACAAAAAUGCACAUAUUGUGAGCUCGAUGAGUAGGGCAGGGACACCGUGGUAUCCUGUCUGAAUAUGGGGGGACCAUCCUCCAAGGCUAAAUACUCCUGACUGACCGAUAGUGAACCAGUACCGUGAGGGAAAGGCGAAAAGAACCCCGGCGAGGGGAGUGAAAAAGAACCUGAAACCGUGUACGUACAAGCAGUGGGAGCCUCUUAAUGGGGUGACUGCGUACCUUUUGUAUAAUGGGUCAGCGACUUAUAUUCUGUAGCAAGGUUAACCGAAUAGGGGAGCCGAAGGGAAACCGAGUCUUAACUGGGCGUUAAGUUGCAGGGUAUAGACCCGAAACCCGGUGAUCUAGCCAUGGGCAGGUUGAAGGUUGGGUAACACUAACUGGAGGACCGAACCGACUAAUGUUGAAAAAUUAGCGGAUGACUUGUGGCUGGGGGUGAAAGGCCAAUCAAACCGGGAGAUAGCUGGUUCUCCCCGAAAGCUAUUUAGGUAGCGCCUCGUGAAUUCAUCUCCGGGGGUAGAGCACUGUUUCGGCAAGGGGGUCAUCCCGACUUACCAACCCGAUGCAAACUGCGAAUACCGGAGAAUGUUAUCACGGGAGACACACGGCGGGUGCUAACGUCCGUCGUGAAGAGGGAAACAACCCAGACCGCCAGCUAAGGUCCCAAAGUCAUGGUUAAGUGGGAAACGAUGUGGGAAGGCCCAGACAGCCAGGAUGUUGGCUUAGAAGCAGCCAUCAUUUAAAGAAAGCGUAAUAGCUCACUGGUCGAGUCGGCCUGCGCGGAAGAUGUAACUGGGGCUAAACCAUGCACCGAAGCUGCGGCAGCGACACUAUGUGUUGUUGGGUAGGGGAGCGUUCUGUAAGCCUGUGAAGGUGGCCUGUGAGGGUUGCUGGAGGUAUCAAGAAGUGCGAAUGCUGACAUAAGUAACGAUAAAGCGGGUGAAAAGCCCGCUCGCCGGAAGACCAAGGGUUCCUGUCCAACGUUAAUCGGGGCAGGGUGAGUCGACCCCUAAGGCGAGGCCGAAAGGCGUAGUCGAUGGGAAACAGGUUAAUAUUCCUGUACUUGGUGUUACUGCGAAGGGGGGACGGAGAAGGCUAUGUUGGCCGGGCGACGGUUGUCCCGGUUUAAGCGUGUAGGCUGGUUUUCCAGGCAAAUCCGGAAAACCAAGGCUGAGGCGUGAUGACGAGGCACUACGGUGCUGAAGCGACAAAUGCCCUGCUUCCAGGAAAAGCCUCUAAGCAUCAGGUAACAUCAAAUCGUACCCCAAACCGACACAGGUGGUCAGGUAGAGAAUACCAAGGCGCUUGAGAGAACUCGGGUGAAGGAACUAGGCAAAAUGGUGCCGUAACUUCGGGAGAAGGCACGCUGAUAUGUAGGUGAAGCGACUUGCUCGUGGAGCUGAAAUCAGUCGAAGAUACCAGCUGGCUGCAACUGUUUAUUAAAAACACAGCACUGUGCAAACACGAAAGUGGACGUAUACGGUGUGACGCCUGCCCGGUGCCGGAAGGUUAAUUGAUGGGGUUAGCCGCAAGGCGAAGCUCUUGAUCGAAGCCCCGGUAAACGGCGGCCGUAACUAUAACGGUCCUAAGGUAGCGAAAUUCCUUGUCGGGUAAGUUCCGACCUGCACGAAUGGCGUAAUGAUGGCCAGGCUGUCUCCACCCGAGACUCAGUGAAAUUGAACUCGCUGUGAAGAUGCAGUGUACCCGCGGCAAGACGGAAAGACCCCGUGAACCUUUACUAUAGCUUGACACUGAACAUUGAGCCUUGAUGUGUAGGAUAGGUGGGAGGCUUUGAAGUGUGGACGCCAGUCUGCAUGGAGCCGACCUUGAAAUACCACCCUUUAAUGUUUGAUGUUCUAACGUUGGCCCGUAAUCCGGGUUGCGGACAGUGUCUGGUGGGUAGUUUGACUGGGGCGGUCUCCUCCUAAAGAGUAACGGAGGAGCACGAAGGUUGGCUAAUCUUCCUUGUCGGGUAAGUUCCGACCUGCACGAAUGGCGUAAUGAUGGCCAGGCUGUCUCCACCCGAGACUCAGUGAAAUUGAACUCGCUGUGAAGAUGCAGUGUACCCGCGGCAAGACGGAAAGACCCCGUGAACCUUUACUAUAGCUUGACACUGAACAUUGAGCCUUGAUGUGUAGGAUAGGUGGGAGGCUUUGAAGUGUGGACGCCAGUCUGCAUGGAGCCGACCUUGAAAUACCACCCUUUAAUGUUUGAUGUUCUAACGUUGGCCCGUAAUCCGGGUUGCGGACAGUGUCUGGUGGGUAGUUUGACUGGGGCGGUCUCCUCCUAAAGAGUAACGGAGGAGCACGAAGGUUGGCUAAUCCUGGUCGGACAUCAGGAGGUUAGUGCAAUGGCAUAAGCCAGCUUGACUGCGAGCGUGACGGCGCGAGCAGGUGCGAAAGCAGGUCAUAGUGAUCCGGUGGUUCUGAAUGGAAGGGCCAUCGCUCAACGGAUAAAAGGUACUCCGGGGAUAACAGGCUGAUACCGCCCAAGAGUUCAUAUCGACGGCGGUGUUUGGCACCUCGAUGUCGGCUCAUCACAUCCUGGGGCUGAAGUAGGUCCCAAGGGUAUGGCUGUUCGCCAUUUAAAGUGGUACGCGAGCUGGGUUUAGAACGUCGUGAGACAGUUCGGUCCCUAUCUGCCGUGGGCGCUGGAGAACUGAGGGGGGCUGCUCCUAGUACGAGAGGACCGGAGUGGACGCAUCACUGGUGUUCGGGUUGUCAUGCCAAUGGCACUGCCCGGUAGCUAAAUGCGGAAGAGAUAAGUGCUGAAAGCAUCUAAGCACGAAACUUGCCCCGAGAUGAGUUCUCCCUGACUCCUUGAGGGUCCUGAAGGAACGUUGAAGACGACGACGUUGAUAGGCCGGGUGUGUAAGCGCAGCGAUGCGUUGAGCUAACCGGUACUAAUGAACCGUGAGGCUUAACCUUACAACGCCGAAG